CCUUUACUGGAACAGUUAAGGAAUAAUUAUUUAUUAACCUAAGAUGGCUUUUUACUAUCUAAUGGAAAGUUUUAUUGUGUUGAGUUUGUGUAUGAAAAUGGAUGAUGUUUUUACAAAAUAAUGAUUUAUCAAGCUUUUUUACCAAUCCAUGUGAUUUAAAGAAUUUGAAUAUUUUUUAUAUUAAAAAUUUUUAUUAAAUUUUUAAAGAUUUUUCUUGUAAAGUUGUAUAAAAAAGAAUUAGUGCUUGCUCCUUUAGUCCAUGAUAUUGGUUGGUAGAAGGAUCAACAUAAAAAUUUAGCAAAUUUUAGCAACUGUAUAAUUUGUAUCAUAACGUACAGUUUAAAGUUGUAUUUUUCUGUUAGCUAUUUUACAUGAACAAAUUUUUAAUAUAUGAGUAUUUUUUCUAUUAUAUUUUCUACUAUACUUAUCCAGUUGAAAAAGUAUAGUAGGGAAAGCAAAAUGUUCAUUUGAGCUGUUUUGAUAGAAAAUACAGAGAAAUAAAGAGAGAAAAUUCGAUUGAUAAUUUUUUGUGCUGGCCAUCAUCAUUAAAUGUAAUAAAUUGUUUCAAUGAAAUGCAUAAACCGCAUCUAACUAAUACAGAUUUAGGCUGCCCAAAAUUAAAUGUCAUGGAGAUAAUAUCAUGAGUUAUGUGAUAAAUUUGAAUUUGCCACUACUAGUGAUACUCAAAUAGAAUCAGAGUCAGAAAACGGUAACUAUUUUAAAAGAUACUUAAUUCAAGUAUUAAUAGUUUUAUUUUGAUAUUAACUUUUAUAGAAGCCACUACCAUGCUUAUGCAAAAGAAAACAUAAUAACCAACAGAAUAGUUAGCAAGUACCUACUCCUGUAAUGCAAAAAAAGAAACAGAAAACAAUUUUUAUGCAUACUCCACAUACUAUAGCUCAAGGUAUUAAUUGUCUGUCUGCAAGUUGAUUUAGGAAGAAAAGAUUCUGAACAUUUUUUUCUAUGCUUCAGUGAUUUACACAUUUUAUUGGUUGCUAAAUUAAUACAUUUUAUUUAACUUAUGAAUAAUGUUUUAUUUUAUAAAUGUUUUGUUCUUGUGUUUCAACGCUUUUAGAAAUUAAUUAAUGUUUGGUUCUUUUGUCUUUCUGAUAUAUCUUUAUUGUUAGAAAGAGAUGUUAGUAAAAACUCUUUCCAGUAAUUAAAGUAAUAUCAUGACAAAUAGUUCUGAAAUUCUACGGAUGAACUUGCAUUAGUAAUUUAAUGAUUACGAUAACAGUUUAAAUGAUUCUUGGGUAAGGUCAGAAGUGAUGGGUUGUUUCAAAGCAUGACUUUUUGCAGUUUUUUUUAUUGUUUUUUGAAAAAAUAUUUAU